GACGAACGCUGGCGGCGUGCUUAACACAUGCAAGUCGAACGGAAAGGCCCCCUUGUGGGGUACUCGAGUGGCGAACGGGUGAGUAACACGUGAGUAACCUACCCUUGACUUUGGGAUAACUUCAGGAAACUGGGGCUAAUACCGGAUAGGAGCUCCUGCUGCAUGGUGGGGGUUGGAAAGUUUCGGCGGUUGGGGAUGGACUCGCGGCUUAUCAGCUUGUUGGUGGGGUAGUGGCUCACCAAGGCUUUGACGGGUAGCCGGCCUGAGAGGGUGACCGGCCACAUUGGGACUGAGAUACGGCCCAGACUCCUACGGGAGGCAGCAGUGGGGAAUAUUGCACAAGGGGCGGAAGCCUGAUGCAGCAACGCCGCGUGCGGGAUGACGGCCUUCGGGUUGUAAACCGCUUUCGCCUGUGACGAAGCGUGAGUGACGGUAAUGGGUAAAGAAGCACCGGCUAACUACGU
rnacentral:rRNA from 1 species